rnacentral:rRNA from 1 species
GAUGAACGCCGGCGGCGUGCCUAACACAUGCAAGUCGAGCGGGAAAUGGCUCAUGAGAUUUUCGGAUGGAUUGAGCCAUGGACAGCGGCGGACAGGUGAGUAACGCGUAGGCAACCUGCCCUCAGCACGGGGAUAGCCUCGGGAAACCGGGAUUAAAACCUGAUAACACGCAGAGGUCACAUGAUCUUUGCGCCAAAGAUUUAUCGGCUGGGGAUGGGCCUGCGUCUGAUUAGCUAGUUGGUAGGGUAACGGCCUACCAAGGCGACGAUCAGUAGCCGACCUGAGAGGGUAAACGGCCACAUUGGAACUGAGACACGGUCCAAACUCCUACGGGAGGCAGCAGUGGGGAAUAUUGCACAAUGGGCGAAAGCCUGAUGCAGCAACGCCGCGUGAGCGAAGAAGGCCUUUGGGUCGUAAAGCUCUGUCGACAGGGAAGAAACAAAUGACGGUACCUGUUGAGAAAGCCCCGGCUAACUACGUGCCAGCAGCCGCGGUAAUACGUAGGGGGCGAGCGUUAUCCGGAAUUAUUGGGCGUAAAGAGUGCGUAGGUGGCUUAAUAAGCGGGAGGUGAAAGGCUGAGGCUCAACCACAGUGAGCCUUCCGAACUGUUAAGCUUGAGUGCGGGAGAGGAAAGCGGAAUUCCUGGUGUAGCGGUGAAAUGCGCAGAUAUCAGGAGGAACACCGGUGGCGAAGGCGGCUUUCUGGACCGUAACUGACACUGAGGCACGAAAGCGUGGGGAGCAAACAGGAUUAGAUACCCUGGUAGUCCACGCCGUAAACGAUGAGCACCAGGUGUCGGGAUCGCAAGAUUUCGGUGCCGAAGUUAACGCAAUAAGUGCUCCGCCUGGGGAGUACGCACGCAAGUGUGAAACUCAAAUGAAUUGACGG